rnacentral:rRNA from 1 species
GUGAACGCUGGCGGUAGGCCUAACCCCUGCAAGUCGAACGGCAGCACCGUAAGAGCAUGCUCUUACGGGUGGCGAGUGGCGGACGGGUGAGGAAUACAUCGGAAUCUACUUUUUCGUGGGGGAUAACGUAGGGAAACUUACGCUAAUACCGCAUACGACCUACGGGUGAAAGCAGGGGAUCUUCGGACCUUGCGCGAUUGAAUGAGCCGAUGUCGGAUUAGCUAGUUGGCGGGGUAAAGGCCCACCAAGGCGACGAUCCGUAGCUGGUCUGAGAGGAUGAUCAGCCACACUGGAACUGAGACACGGUCCAGACUCCUACGGGAGGCAGCAGUGGGGAAUAUUGGACAAUGGGCGCAAGCCUGAUCCAGCCAUACCGCGUGGGUGAAGAAGGCCUUCGGGUUGUAAAGCCCUUUUGUUGGGAAAGAAAAGCAGCAGGUUAAUACCCCGCUGUUCUGACGGUACCCAAAGAAUAAGCACCGGCUAACUUCGUG